rnacentral:lncRNA from 1 species
UUGGACUCUCCCCUAUGAAGAGGAUGCUCUGCCUGGGACUUCCCUGUUGGGAAAGCUGCCCUGGGACUCCCCAGCUCCCUGGCUUUCAGGUGCUGGUGUUUUCUCGGUAAGAUGAUGUAUUUUCUUCUCUUUCUCUCCCACCUUUCACUUUUGCUUUUGCUUUCAUGUGACUACUAAAACAAACACUAUCUUAUAUAAAGAGAGUCUCUCUAUUGUCUAUCAGAAACGACCUGCCAAAUUCAGCAGCUGCACUCAUAUGUCACAUCUUAAUGUUACUGAGGUCAAAUUUCUCUAUCUGAGCUGCAAAUAGGAAGUGUUACUGAGUCCUGGGGCAAAAGCCCUGGCUCUAGGGGUCCCAACAGAUCAACCCCAAUCACCUAUUUCAAUAUACCAAGCAAAGAAAUGACCAGUGCAGGAGGGUAAGAAAGGAGCUUUAAUUAACGUGGUCAUCAUACUGGGAAGAACAGACAUAGGGGUACAGUGACCAAAGAUCCUUUUUCAAGGGACUGACAGAAACUUUGAAGUUUUGUAGAAAAAAAAAACAAGCUUGCAUGGAUCGGGAGUUUGCAAAGCUGGCAGAGUAGGACAUCUGGUCAAGCCAUGGUCUUGUUGGUCAUUAUGUCAGGGCUGGUUCUGUGGAGCUCUGGGAAGGUCAUCAUUUCAUAAGGAGGCAAUUUGGUUCCCACUGUGAGAUGGUUGCUCCUGCUUAGAGGAACAACCUCAGUCCCAACAGGAGGUGACUGCACCUUGUUAAAGGGGGCAAUCUUGUCAUUGGAUGUUCUGUAAGACUCACUGUUGACACUGGACAUGGGAAUAUUGACUUAGUGACUGUAGAAAUGAAAACAGGUGAAUGAUCACACGGGCAAGGCUUUUAUUAGGGCUUCUGUUUUUAAAGGGAGACCCAGCAUGGACCAUUCUGGCUCCCAGAAUAAAGGGAAAG